ACGCCCGAGCCAUCCCCAACAAACGCCGUGGGCCUUCCGGCCCGCGUAUAUUUACUCUGAAUGUGUAUAGAAUGUAAACCAUUUGUUUGCCCUGAAAAAGCAAACGAAAAAUAGUACAACUUUCAACAACGGAUCUCUUGGCUCUCGCAUCGAUGAAGAACGCAGCGAAAUGCGAUAAGUAAUGUGAAUUGCAGAUUUUCAGUGAAUCAUCGAAUCUUUGAACGCACCUUGCGCCCCUUGGUAUUCCGAGGGGCAUGCCUGUUUGAGUGUCAUUAAAUCCUCAACCGCGCCGAUUGAUUUUCGGUGGGGCUUGGACUUUGGAGCGUGCUGGCGAAGGUCGGCUCCUCUUUAAAUGCAUCAGCGGAAGAAACCUUUGUCUUUCCCGCCUUCGGUGUGAUAAUUGUGUUGCGCCGUGGUGGAACUUCAACGAUCCGCUUACAAUGGUCUUCGGACGAAACCUCAUGUCAUCUUGACCUCAAAUCAGGUAGGACUACCCGCUGAACUUAAGCAUAUCAAUAAGCGGAG
rnacentral:rRNA from 1 species